AGUCUGCAAACUCGACUCCAUGAAGUCGGAAUCGCUAGUAAUUCGAGAUCAGCAUGCUCGGGUGAAUGCGUUCCCGGGCCUUGUACACACCGCCCGUCACACCACGAAGUCGGUUUUACCCGAAGCCGGUGAGCUAACUCGCAAGAGAAGCAGCCGUCUACGGUAGGGCCGA
rnacentral:rRNA from 1 species